rnacentral:rRNA from 1 species
GUGGGGAAUAUUGGACAAUGGGGGGAACCCUGAUCCAGCCAUGCCGCGUGUGUGAAGAAGGCCUUUUGGUUGUAAAGCACUUUAAGCGAGGAGGAGGCUUACCUGGUUAAUACCUAGGAUAAGUGGACGUUACUCGCAGAAUAAGCACCGGCUAACUCUGUGCCAGCAGCCGCGGUAAUACAGAGGGUGCGAGCGUUAAUCGGAUUUACUGGGCGUAAAGCGCGCGUAGGUGGUGAAUUAAGUCAAAUGUGAAAUCCCCGAGCUUAACUUGGGAAUUGCAUUCGAGACUGGUUAGCUAGAGGAUGGGAGAGGAUGGUAGAAGUCCAGGGGUAGCGGUGAAAUUCGUAGAGAUCUGGAGGAAUACCGAUGGCGAAGGCAGCCAUCUGGCCUAAUACUGACACUGAGGUGCGAAAGCAUGGGGAGCAAACAGGAUUAGAAACCCGGGUAGUCC